GGAGGGGCGUCGUUUCCGGUGAAGCGGCAGGACUUCAAAUCCUGUUAAGGACGCCAGCGUUCUUGGGUGGGUUCAACUCCCAUUCCCCUCC
rnacentral:tRNA from 1 species